CAGGCUGGUCGCGUUUUGUUAGGCUUGGCCAGUGGCAACCAUGGCCUCUGCGGCGGUGGAUUGACGGUGACUGCAAAACUGCCGACAAGAUGCGUCUGUGUCUUUGCGCUGCAGCGCGGAUGCGUAUGAGAAUAGGGAUGAGGAUGGGGAUGCGGGUGGGCGACGACAACGCGUGCCACCCGUUCACUGGCAAAACUGUGAUUAGCCGUUGUUGUUGUUCACUCUAUCACAUAUUCCACGAGGAUGUCGUCGUCUUGAUGUUGUUGUCUUGACGUUGUUGCUGUUGUUCUUGUUGUUGCUCAGCAGCUGAUCGCGCGCACUCUUUGUGCUCAGGUUCGCUCUCAUGAAACGUGUACACAAUUGUUUUUUGUUUUUUAAUGUGUGUUUGCUGUGCCCCCUUUGUGUGUGUGUUAGUUAAUGUGUGUGUAAGUGUGAGUGUUUUGUUUGGUUGUUUGGGAAGACACUACGAUUGUUUUUCGUUUUUCGUGUCUCGCUUUUCUGUUAAUUUUGUGCAAACGUCGGACGAACAACUAUGAAAAACUUUCACUAUUUUUUUUGUUGUUGUUUUGUUUUUAAUAAAUUUUGUGAUUUUUCAUAAUUUUGUUGGUAUUGUUGUUGUUGUUGCUGCUGCUGCUGCUGCUUGGUGCUUCUGCUGAUGGGCGACUGUGAUUUGUUUUAGCUCAGCUCCGAUUGUUAUUGUUGUUAUUGUUGUGCCUUUAAUGAGCACAUUAACUACGUUUUCAUUGCAUUUUAAUUGUACAACUUAUUUGCUGUUGCUGUUUCUCUAUAUUUUA